rnacentral:rRNA from 1 species
GACAGAGGGUGCAAACGUUGUUCGGAAUUACUGGGCGUAAAGCGCGUGUAGGCGGCCCUGUAAGUCGGGUGUGAAAUCCCACGGCUCAACCGUGGAAGUGCAUUCGAAACUACAGGGCUAGAGUUCUGGAGAGGAAGGUGGAAUGCUUGGUGUAGAGGUGAAAUUCGUAGAUAUCAAGCGAAACACCGGUGGCGAAGGCGGCCUUCUGGACAGUAACUGACGCUGAGACGCGAAAGCGUGGGGAGCAAACAGG